UAAAGAAUAUUGCGCAAUGGGCGAAAGCCUGACGCAGCCAUGCCGCGUGUGUGAAGAAGGCCCUAGGGUUGUAAAGCACUUUCAGUGGCGAAGAAGAGUGAGGGGUUAAUACCCUCGCACUUUGACGUUAACCACAGAAGAAGGUCCGGCUAACUCCGUGCCAGCAGCCGCGGUAAUACGGAGGGACCGAACGUUAAUCGGAAUUACUGGGCGUAAAGCGCGCGUAGGCGGUUUGUUAAGUGGGAUGUGAAAGCCCUGGGCUCAACCUAGGAACUGCAUCUCAAACUGACAGGCUAGAGUGUAGUAGAGGGAGGUGGAAUUUCCUGUGUAGCGGUGAAAUGCGUAGAUAUAGGAAGGAACACCAGUGGCGAAGGCGGCCUCCUGGACUAACACUGACGCUGAGGCGCGAAAGCGUGGGGAGCAAACAGG
rnacentral:rRNA from 1 species